GACGAACGCUGGCGGCGUGCUUAACACAUGCAAGUCGAGCGGUAAGGCCUCUUCGGGGGUACACGAGCGGCGAACGGGUGAGUAACACGUGGGUGACCUGCCCUCAGCUCUGGGAUAAGCCUGGGAAACUGGGUCUAAUACCGGAUGUGACCUUGCCUCGCAUGGGGUGGGGUGGAAAGUCCUGGGCUUGAUUGUCUGGGUUCGGCUGGGGAUGGGCCCGCGGCCUAUCAGCUUGUUGGUGGGGUGAUGGCCUACCAAGGCGACGACGGGUAGCCGGCCUGAGAGGGCGACCGGCCACACUGGGACUGAGACACGGCCCAGACUCCUACGGGAGGCAGCAGUGGGAAUAUUGCACAAUGGACGCAAGUCUGAUGCAGCGACGCCGCGUGAGGGAUGACGGCCUUCGGGUUGUAAACCUCUUUCGCCAAGGACGAAGUGACCGCAAGGUUUUGACGGUACUUGGAGAAGAAGCGCCGGCCAACUACGUGCCAGCAGCCGCGGUAAGACGUAGGGCGCAAGCGUUGUCCGGAUUUAUUGGGCGUAAGGAGCUCGUAGGCGGCUUGUUGCGUCGUCCGUGAAAACCUGGGGCUCAACUUCAGGUCUGCGGACGAUACGGGCAGGCUGGAGUUCGGUAGGGGAGACUGGAAUUCCUGGU
rnacentral:rRNA from 1 species